rnacentral:rRNA from 1 species
UUGGCGUAGGCGAUGGACAACAGGUUGAUAUUCCUGUACCACCUCCUCACCAUUUGAGCAAUGGGGGGACGCAGGAGGAUAGGGUAAGCGCGGUAUUGGAUAUCCGCGUCCAAGCAGUUAGGCUGGGAAAUAGGCAAAUCCGUUUCCCAUAAGGCUGAGCUGUGAUGGCGAGCGAAAUAUAGUAGCGAAGUUCCUGAUUCCACACUGCCAAGAAAAGCCUCUAGCGAGGUGAGAGGUGCCCGUACCGCAAACCGACACAGGUAGGCGAGGAGAGAAUCCUAAGGUGAUCGAGAGAACUCUCGUUAAGGAACUCGGCAAAAUGACCCCGUAACUUCGGGAGAAGGGGUGCUCUGUUAGGGUGCAAGCCCGAGAGAGCCGCAGUGAAUAGGCCCAGGCGACUGUUUAGCAAAAACACAGGUCUCUGCGAAGCCGUAAGGCGAAGUAUAGGGGCUGACGCCUGCCCGGUGCUGGAAGGUUAAGAGGAGCGCUUAGCGUAAGCGAAGGUGCGAAUUGAAGCCCCAGUAAACGGCGGCCGUAACCAUAACGGUCCUAAGGUAGCGAAAUUCCUUGUCGGGUAAGUUCCGACCCGCACGAAAGGCGCAACGAUCUGGGCACUGUCUCAACGAGAGACUCGGUGAAAUUAUAGUACCUGUGAAGAUGCAGGUUACCCGCGACAGGACGGAAAGACCCCGUGGAGCUUUACUGCAGCCAGAUAUUGAAUGUUGGUACAGCUUGUACAGGAUAGGUAGUAGCCUUGGAAACCGGAGCGCCAGCUUCGGUGGAGGCAUCGGUGGGAUACUACCCUGGCUGUAUUGACCUUCUAACCCGCCGCCCUUAUCGGGCGGGGAGACAGUGUCAGGUGGGCAGUUUGACUGGGGCGGUCGCCUCCUAAAAGGUAACGGAGGCGCCCAAAGGUUCCCUCAGAAUGGUUGGAAAUCAUUCGCAGAGUGUAAAGGCACAAGGGAGCUUGACUGCGAGACCUACAAGUCGAGCAGGGACGAAAGUCGGGCUUAGUGAUCCGGUGGUUCCGCAUGGAAGGGCCAUCGCUCAACGGAUAAAAGCUACCCCGGGGAUAACAGGCUUAUCUCCCCCAAGAGUCCACAUCGACGGGGAGGUUUGGCACCUCGAUGUCGGCUCAUCGCAUCCUGGGGCUGUAGUCGGUCCCAAGGGUUGGGCUGUUCGCCCAUUAAAGCGGUACGCGAGCUGGGUUCAGAACGUCGUGAGACAGUUCGGUCCCUAUCCGUCGCGGGCGCAGGAAAUUUGAGAGGAGCUGUCCUUAGUACGAGAGGACCGGGAUGGACGCACCGCUGGUGUACCAGUUGUUCUGCCAAGGGCAUCGCUGGGUAGCUAUGUGCGGACGGGAUAAGUGCUGAAAGCAUCUAAGCAUGAAGCCCCCCUCAAGAUGAGAUUUCCCAUUCCGCAAGGAAGUAAGAUCCCUGAAAGAUGAUCAGGUUGAUAGGUCUGAGGUGGAAGUGUGGCGACACAUGGAGCUGACAGAUACUAAUCGAUCGAGGACUUA